rnacentral:rRNA from 1 species
GGCCUUCGGGAACUCCGACACAGGUGCUGCAUGGCUGUCGUCAGCUCGUGUCGUGAGAGUGUUCGGGUUAAGUCCCGUAACGAGCGCAACCCUUGUCCUUAGUUACCAGCACGUUAUGGUGGGCACUCUAAGGAGACUGCCGGUGACAAACCGGAGGAAGGUGGGGAUGACGUCAAGUCAUCAUGGCCCUUACGGCCUGGGCUACACACGUGCUACAAUGGUCGGUACAAAGGGUUGCCAAGCCGCGAGGUGGAGCUAAUCCCAAUAAAACCGAUCGUAGUCCGGAUCGCAGUCUGCAACUCGACUGCGUGAAGUCGGAAUCGCUAGUAAUCGUGAAUCAGAAUGUCACGGUGAAUACGUUCCCGGGCCUU